UGUCUGACUACGAAUCAGAAGGUUGUAGGUUCGACUCCUACUGGGUGCA
rfam:Lactobacillus bifermentans DSM 20003 NODE_351, whole genome shotgun sequence.